UUAUUUAUUAUUUCCUCCAUUUUCUCUCACCAGAAGUAUCUUCCAGCCUUCUCUACUGUGAUUCUCAACUCGUAGAGAUGUCAAUCAAAGAAAUUUAAUUUCAAAUACUUUUACUAUAUUGAGAGGUUCAAGUUGGGAAGCUAAAGGUGAAGUUGGAGUCAUGUUUGAUGGAUUUUCUACAACUGUAAGUAUACAUUUUAUUUGUAUGUAUAAAAUUAUGUCAAUCUCAAUUUUUCUAGGAUAGAAGUUGACAAAUAUAUAAAAACUGGAAAACAAAGUGAAGAUCUUUUCAAUAAUCAGGUGUAUAUUUUAAAGACUCAAAUAAUAGCUUUGGCAAAUUGAAUAGAUCUUAAAAAUAAUUCUACUUUAAACUCAAUAAAAUUACACCUUAUCCAUUAUAUUUUAUUUGUCAAUUUACAACAAUGCUCAUAUUAAAUAAUGUAUAAUCUUACGAUCUUGAAAAUUGAUUUGGGAAAUAAAUAAUUGAGGUUUAGGGGAAAACAUGAAUUGGUUUUUGUUUUAAAGGUACCAUCUCUGUUUUGAUUAGUUUAUAUGUUAUUUUGUUUUAUUGUAAGAGUUAACACUUGUGCGUGUGCGUUAGAGGAGUUUGAUGAAGGUUUAGAUUUGUUUGGUAUGAGAAUGUUAUUAAGAUCUGGUAGAUGGUGAACUGUAUUUAAUAUUCAUGUUUGUAAUGGUGGGGAUUUCAUAUUGUAAUUCGAUAGCAGCUUGCACAGUCAUGCUAAUAGAUAGAUAUAAAUGACAAUGUAUUGGGAUUAAGGCUUAGUUGUUAUUAUAUACUUAUAUCAGGCCCCUUGUCUGCCAGGAGUUUGAGUUUGGUUAAA